CUCCAGCUAUGGUGAAGGCGCGGCAAACGGCUCAGUAACACGUGGCCAACCUACCCUUGGGACGGAGACAACCCCGGGAAACUGGGGCUAAUCCCCGAUAGGUGAGGAAUCCUGGAAUGGACCCUCGCCCAAAAGACGUUGAGUCCAUGCUAUUCAGCGUCGCCCAAGGAUGGAGCCGCGACCGAUCAGGUAGUUGGUGAGGCAACGGCUCACCAAGCCUAUAACCGGUACGGGCCGUGAGAGCGGGAGCCCGGAGAUGGGCACUGAGACAAGGGCCCAGGCCCUACGGGGCGCAGCAGUUGCGAAAACUCCGCAAUGCGCGAAAGCGUGACGGGGCUACCCCGAGUGCCGCCCGUUGAGGGCGGCUUUUCCACGGUGUAAGGAGCCGUGGGAAUAAGGAGAGGGCAAGACUGGUGUCAGCCGCCGCGGUAAUACCAGCUCUCCGAGUGGUGGGGACGAUUAUUGGGCUUAAAGCGUUCGUAGCCGGCUUAACAAGUCUUCCGUUAAAUCCAACGAUCUAAUCGUUGGGCUGCGGGAGAUACUGUUGGGCUAGGAGGCGGGAGAAGCCGACGGUAUUCUCGGGGUAGGGGUGAAAUCCUGUAAUCCUGGGGGGACCGCCAGUGGCGAAGGCGUCCAACCAGAGCGGACCCGACGGUGAGGGACGAAAGCCAGGGGCGCGAACGGGAUUAGAUACCCCGGUAGUCCUGGCCGUAAACGCUGCAUGCUAGGUG
rnacentral:rRNA from 1 species